CCCAGGUGCUGUGCCUUUAAACAGCACAGUGUUGUUAUAAACCAGUAACCUUAACCCUUAGCCUCAAAGCACACCCUUUUCCUGAUAACACAGACAGACAUUCACACUCAAAAUACAGUACAACGAUAUUCGGUGUUCACACAUUUGUACACACACACGUACAGCGCACACGUUCAUUUCCAGUGAAGUCCCAGAUUCACUGAAUUGGCAGCGGGCUUAAAAGGUUUCUUCUGUGGUGCUGCUGUUGCGUAACUUCUCAAGAUGUCCUUUGAAGUCUCGUUCCCCAUUUUAGAGUAAGUGUCCUAGGACAGUGUCUUGCAUUAACUACUUACAAUACAAAAUGGAUAGUUGCUCAAACAGGGCGCUUAGCCGUGCUGUAUUGCCUAUAUAUCACAAUUAGCAGUACCUUACGAGAUGGCUUAUUGCUCUUACAAACUGUUUACCAACAGAAUGAGAGCUAAAAAAACUGAUGUUAUAUCAUACCCAUGGAAUACGGUCACAUAUACCAUGGCUAUCAUCCAAUCAGCAUUCAGUAUCCAAUCACCUGGUUAAUAAGAGACAGUAUGACGUUACAUCACUUUUAACUUGUCUAUUCACAUCGGUAAUUGACUUGUAAUUGCAGAAAGGCAUCUUGAGGGUUUGUGGAAUUUUGCCAAUGUACCACAACUAAGUGCUGUAUCCAUUUGUGUCUAAGAAAAGCCCUUAGCUGUGGAAUAUUUGCCACCACAUAACACAUGCCUUAUUGCUUAAUUAGAUACCCAUCAUUCAAGCCCAUCAGGUUUGCCUCAGGGAAGGCAGACCAAAAUAAAUACUAAGACUAAUUAAGGGAAAUCUAGUGAAUAAUCAAAGAGGAGUAAACCAGGCAGGGAAAUCCAACCAUGCCAGGGCAGUGUCAAUAAGUAGCAGAAACCACAGAAUUGGUUGCUAAGUAUCAUUACGUCUGAAGCGCUGUGCAUGCAGCUUUUCGAUUUUAGCAGAACCAGACCGGGUGAAAGACUCCUGGACUAACAACAUGGUGACCAGCGCAGGUGAAACAGGAGAUGACCUCAAACCUCAUUAGGUCACCUGAAAACCCAAAACACAGUCUCAAAGUUUUGCAGAACGGUUGCCCGUAGCGCAGACACGCGCAUACACACAACAACAAUGUCAACAAUAGGCAUCUGCAUGUAUCUCGCCAAGCAGGGCGAAUUCACUGACCAAUCAAAAUGUACUUCCUCAGAAUCUUCAUGCCGAUCAUCACGUUUGGAAUUAUCAUCCUCUGCUGCACGGCCUUCUGCAAGGCCUUUCACCGCGUCCGCGAGGAGCGAAUGGAGCGGGAGGAGAGACUCGACAGGCCCUCGGUUUUCGUUAUCCCCUUCCCAGCGGUGUCCUGUGACAACGAAGACCUCCACAGGCCUCCGCGUUACAGCACCACAGAGUCCUACAGCCCGCCUCCUGCCUACAACGAGGUGGAGAUGAAGCCAGACUUCAUCGAAGCAGAUCUUCCUCCAGCCUACUCAGAGAUCUCACACGCCCCAGAUGUCUAAUUGCGUUCUCCAUCCACUGCGCCUUGGUUUGGUUCCUCCUCAGCCCCACUGUCACCCGGGGGACCAUACUAGCUGGGAAAACUGAAGGCCAAACACACUCGAAGAGAACCUAGGCUAUGCGUGGAUCCAUGACCCUGAAGCUGUACUAACUGUUCUGCAGAGACUUAGCACUGGGGUUUGUGAAAGGUGUGUUUGGGAGGCGCCCUGUGGGAAAAGGAUGAAUCGGCUUAUGUGGCAAGCGUGGGAUUAUGGACGUCUAUGAAUGUGUGUCCUGUGAAGCAAGAUUUGUCCCUCCACCUGCUCUGUGUACAUGUGUAAAUAUUCAAAAAUCUUGAAUAAAUUGUAUUUUUGUAAGCCUUACUCAAAACUGUUAAUAUGAUGAAGUAUUAUUGUUGUGGGCCUUGAUCUGUGAUAAUAUGGUAGUUUAUUUAAAUGUUUUUUGACAUCUGGAAUGAAGUCUGUUUUCCAUUUUGAAGAUCCAAUCUGUUCUCUUCUGUGUCAGUCAUGUCUGAUGCUUCCACACAUCUUCUAUGCUCUUUAACCCCAUCGGUUUCAUAACAGCUCUACCCAGUAAGAUGAUUUAUGAAAGCCUAUUAGUAAGAUAUUGAACAGACAACUGAUUAUCUUCGCCAUGUGACUGACCGACAUAGUGUCAUUGACACGCCUCUUAAACAUUUUCUUUCAGGCUUUAUUACCGCUGCCCAAUCAUAGAUUCAUACUUCAAUAAUAUUAGGACUUUGGCUAAUGGUAGGUCAUUAAGCAAUGAUAAAACCCUUUCACUGACUGUCACUGAAAACCUUGAUGAAAUCAUAUUAGUUCAUAGCUGCCUUUAAAAUGCAUGUUUUAAUCAUCAACGCCUGCCUAAAAAUGUGUGCAGACAUGAUAAAGCCAUGUAUGAAC
ensembl:lncRNA